CAAAAAGCUCUUUUCAGAGCAUCUAACAGAUAACUUAAAAAAAAA
rfam:TPA: Bos taurus chromosome 1, whole genome shotgun sequence.